UACAGAGGGGGCGAGCGUUGUUCGGAAUUACUGGGCGUAAAGGGCGCGUAGGCGGCCUCUUAAGUCGAACGUGAAAUCCCCGGGCUCAACCCGGGAACUGCGUCCGAUACUGGGGGGCUUGAAUCCGGGAGAGGGAUGUGGAAUUCCAGGUGUAGCGGUGAAAUGCGUAGAUAUCUGGAGGAACACCGGUGGCGAAGGCGGCAUCCUGGACCAACACUGACGCUGAGGAGCGAAAGCCAGGGGAGCAAACGGG
rnacentral:rRNA from 1 species